rnacentral:rRNA from 1 species
UGGGGAAUUUUGGACAAUGGGGGAAACCCUGAUCCAGCCAUCCCGCGUGUGCGAUGAAGGCCUUCGGGUUGUAAAGCACUUUUGGCAGGAAAGAAACGUCAUGGGUUAAUACCCCGUGAAACUAACGGUACCUGCAGAAUAAGCACCGGCUAACUACGUGCCAGCAGCCGCGGUAAUACGUAGGGUGCAAGCGUUAAUCGGAAUUACUGGGCGUAAAGCGUGCGCAGGCGGUUCGGAAAGAAAGAUGUGAAAUCCCAGAGCUCAACUUAGGAACUGCAUUUUUAACUACCGGGCUAGAGUGUGUCAGAGGGAGGUGGAAUUCCGCGUGUAGCAGUGAAAUGCGUAGAUAUGCGGAGGAACACCGAUGGCGAAGGCAGCCUCCUGGGAUAACACUGACGCUCAUGCACGAAAGCGUGGGGAGCAAACAGG